GUUGUAUGGUUAAGUGACUAAGCGUACACGGUGGAUGCCUUGGCAGUCAGAGGCGAUGAAGGACGUAUUAACUUGCGAUAAGCCCAGAUUAGACAGUAAAAGUCAUUUGAGUCUGGGAUUUCCGAAUGGGGAAACCCACUUACAUAAGUAAGUAUCUUGUUGUGAAUACAUAGCAGCAAGAGGCAAACCGGGGGAACUGAAACAUCUAAGUACCCCGAGGAAGAGAAAUCAACCGAGAUUCCGAAAGUAGCGGCGAGCGAAAUUGGAUUAGCCCUUAAGCUUUUAAUGAGACAGACGAAGGCUCUGGAAA
rnacentral:rRNA from 1 species